rfam:Myotis lucifugus cont2.33717, whole genome shotgun sequence.
GGUGGUUCUCGGGUGAUGCACCCCAGAAUCGGGCUCCAUCCUCUCUGGUUCUGGGUGCAUCACCUGAGAACCGCA